UGGAGUAAAAAGUGUAACAAGGUCUCCGUUGGUGAACCAGCG
rnacentral:rRNA from 1 species